CUGAAAUGGAGCGAUCUUUUGGUCAUGUCCAGUGGGCACAGGAUGGUUGGACCAUUGUCGGUACAAAAGCUGACAGCUGGACACACGGACAUCAAGUUCAGCCCCUCCUGUGCGUGCGGAAUCAGGUAGACACGCUGUGACUCCUCUGUAGUCACGUGUCUGUUCUGAAGGUCACCAAGACACCCUCUUCUGUAGCAUCCAGCCAGACCCUGCACUGUCAUUAUCUCCACUGAGAUAAUCAGUCCUCAUCAGCUCACAUCCCUCAGAAGAUUUCAAGUCACCAUCAUAAAGACCCCACAUAGAUGACAGAACUCCAUCUGGCUGGUAUUUUAAAGUUCAUCUGGAAGAAAAAAUGCUUAAGAACGUUUAAGAUCAGCAGAGCCAUAUACCUGGAAUUUAGUUCUUCAAGCAUUAUUUUAAGUCAGUGGAUAAAUGAUGCAUCAAUUAAUAAAUGGCAUUACAAUGGGCAACUGCAUACUUUUUCAUCCAAACCAGAUUUUUUUUUUUGAGGAAGAUUAGCUCUGAGCUAACAUCUGCUGCCAAUCCUCCUCUUUUUGCUGAGGAAGACUGGCCCUGAGCUAACAUCUGUGCCCAUCUUCCUCUACUUUAUAUGUGGGACGCCUGCCACAGCAUGGCUUGCCAAGCGGUGCCAUGUCUGCACCUGGGAUCCGAACUGGUGGACCCCGGGCUGCCGAAGCGGAACAUGCACACUUAACUGCUGCACCCCUGGGCUAGCCCCUAAACCAGCACACUUUUAAGAGUGUUAAAGUGCUAGCUCAGAUGAGACACCAGGACAGUGGCAUAAACCAGAACAACAUGGGGCACACCAAGAUCAGGGUCACCCUGUUUAAGUAAUGCUUUAGUAUCUGGUGCAGGAAGAAAACAAGAUCCUUACUUCGUGACACGCUUCAAAAUCACUCUCACUUAGAGUGAACUGUGAAAACAAACCCUUAAAAUAGUACCCAACGAAAAACGCUGGUUUUAAUCAAGAACCAAUAUCAGAAACCAUAAAGAAAAAAGGUUGAUAGAUGAGGCUACAUAAAAACUCAAGGUGUGUGUAUAUAUAUAUAGCGCUAAGUAAAAAUCCUCAGAUUGAAAUAAACACAAAGUGGAAAAAAAUGACAAACGGUGAUUAUAUAAAAAGUUCUUACAAAUAAGAAAAAAGAGAAACUACACCAACAGAAAAAUAGGCAAAGACAUGAAUAAGCAGUUUACAAAAUAAUUAUGUAUGGCCAGCAAAGGUAUUCCAAAAUGUCCAACCUGACUAGAAAUUGGAGAUCUUUUUUCUCCAUCAAAGAUUGUGCACAGGGCCUGGUCCUGGUGAAGAUGUGAGGAAACUGGUGUUGGGUGUUUAAGUUGAUAGAAUUGUGGCAGGGGGACCUGUCAAACAGGUACUGAUUGCAAUCAUGCAGACCCUCUGGCCUGGGCACUCCAGAUCUAUGAUCCAAAAG
rnacentral:lncRNA from 1 species